CUUCCCAGCAGACGGCGGAGGACAUGGCAAGGGUUGACAUGCUCAGAGGCGGCGCCGCCGGAGAUUAUCUGAAGGCAGGUGGCCUGGUUGGGGGAGGCGGAACAGAGCUCUGCUGGCCGCUGAAGGGGGGCCUGGUUGCGGGUGGCGGCGAUCUGAUGGGUGACGACGGCGGCGAGGGAGAGGACCGCUAUGAGAGAGAUGAAGAAGGCGAGCUUCCAGGCCGCGUGGGUUCCUCUUCCUGGAGACCUCAGUAGGGGUUCCUGGGUGACCGCCAUUGUUGAUCACUGGAUAGCAUCUCCCCGCAGCC
rnacentral:lncRNA from 1 species